CCCCAGACUCCUACGGGAGGCAGCAGUGGGGAAUAUUGCACAAUGGGGGAAACCCUGAUGCAGCGACGCCGCGUGAGUGAAGAAGUAUUUCGGUAUGUAAAGCUCUAUCAGCAGGGAAGAAAAUGACGGUACCUGACUAAGAAGCCCCGGCUAACUACGUGCCAGCAGCCGCGGUAAUACGUAGGGGGCAAGCGUUAUCCGGAUUUACUGGGUGUAAAGGGAGCGUAGACGGCAUGGCAAGUCAGAUGUGAAAGCCCGGGGCUCAACCCCGGGACUGCAUUUGAAACUGUCAGGCUGGAGUGCAGGAGAGGUAAGUGGAAUUCCUAGUGUAGCGGUGAAAUGCGUAGAUAUUAGGAGGAACACCAGUGGCGAAGGCGGCUUACUGGACUGUAACUGACGUUGAGGCUCGAAAGCGUGGGGAGCAAACAGGAUUAGAUACCCUGGUA
rnacentral:rRNA from 1 species